rnacentral:tRNA from 1 species
GGGAGUAUAGCUCAGUGAUAAAGCAUUCGACUGCAGCUCGAGAGGUCCCUGGUUCGAAUUCAGGUGCUCCUU